AACAUUAUGGCAUCCUGAGACGUUUUGUUACCGUUUUGUACGUCCUCAGAAAAAGAUUCAAGUGGGUGAAUUGUCAACGAGUCUUCAGAUUAUGGCUCUGAUUUUGAUGAAUAUGAUUCUGACAGCAAACAUUCAUUUGGUAGCAAGACGGAUGUAGUGAUGAUGAUACCGAAUCAACAAUGUUUGAAUUUGAAAAGGAAACAGAUUAUUCAAAUUCAUUUCCCUGGUUAGGACUGGGCUUUACAAUGGGAUUUUCAGCUGUGGAGCUAUAAAGAAUUACUACAUAGGGUUUCCAAUGUUGUUUUGUGAACAGAAUCCAGAAAUAAGAAGAGGAAAGACAAUGCAGAUGCAGCAUUAGCAUUACCAAUUACUUAUAACUGCUGAGGAAAUGGUACCUGCUUUGAGUACUACUUUUGUGUAUUUGGAGACAGUCCAGUUGUUCUUUAAACCAGAAGGGGAAAUUUCAGUGCUUGUUAAAUUUUCUCCAGCAGUUAUUGGAUGAUAUACAUAGGAAGAAAAUAGGGUCAUACUGAAUAGAAUAGUUUGGAUACACCUUAUAGAUUUUGAAGCUUGAGACCUCAAGAUCAACCCAAAUGAUAUUUAAUAUGUAUCAGGUUUCACUUGCAGGAAAACACAGAAAUUCAGAGUAAAUUUUAAGUGUUUGUUAUCUUAGAAAAGAUCAAAGUUCAAGGGCAACAGUGCUUUAGUUUUACCAAAUAUAACACUAUUAUAAAGACUAAUUUCCUGUAUAAAGGUAAAGCAUAUAAUUCAUAAUAUGAUUUGGGGAAACUGUGAUUUUUUCUUUUAAAUCUUACCUUAAUUUAGAACCAUGAUGUAUACUUAAGCAAGUAGAUUUUUUUCAAGCAUACAAAAUUUCAAGGUCAUUUUAAUUUUGGAAGUGAAUAUAAAAUAUCAGGAAGCAGUCAAGCAUUGUAAUUUUUUUGUUGUUGAAUAUACUUAGUUAUUGAGCAAUAUUCAAAUUUUAAUAUGCAAUGAAAUUAAAGAUUAUAAAAUAAUUAAUGUUCUAAUUUGUUGAUUUUUAAAACUUUGUGUUCAUUCAUUUUGAGGUUGUUGCCAUGACAAUAUGUCUGUCAAGAAAAUGGCUCUGAUAUUCCUUUUUGUUCAGUUUGACCCUUGACCUUUGACAUUGUGACCUCAAAAUCUAAAGGGGUCCUCUACUUUUCAAGAAACCAGUGUACUAAAUUUCAUAUCUGUCAAACAAUGGGUCCUCACGAUUUUGAAUGAUUAAAAUCUACAUACUGGUAUAUCGAGAAUUAUA